CCCUUGAUCCCAAUAGAUUUGCAAUUUAUCCCUUUCAAAAAUAAUUUGACCCCUUUAUCCCUUUCAAUUUUCCAAUCCUGCCCUCCCCUUUCUCUCACUAUCAGUCUCGCCACUUCUCUCAGAACCCAGUCCACACCAGAUCUAAAAGAAGUCAUCAUUCCCCCCAUCAAUCUCUCUUCUUCCUUUCCUCUUGCUUUGCCAAAGGAAUUAACUUUAGCAUUUUUUUCAGGAUUUCCCAAAUCGGACUUUUGUUUUUGGGUGCUUCAUUUGUCUCCAAUUCAAUCUGUCAAAGGUACUUGUUGUUUCCCUUUCGGCCACUCUUUUCUUUGUUUCAGGGGGCUUCAUUUGUAUCCAAUGCUCAUUCUUUUAUUUCGGCUUAAUUCAGGAGAGCCAUCCAUGACCCUCAAGGUAAUGACAAACAAAACAUUAAGGCAGUGUUUGAAUUCGGAAUUGCUUGCUUUGCGUGAUUAGUAAUGGAAGCACAACUUUUCUGAGUUACAAGUAGCUCCGUUCUUUCUUAUGGGAGCAAAGUAUGGGCAUCUUAUAACAUUUUGGAGGCUCUGUAUGCUUGGUUGAUAUAUUUUUGCACUGCAAACACCUUCGUUGAAUUCUACGUGAAGUUCGUUUUCUUCGGCCGACACCUUUGUGGUCGCUAGUGACCUUUUUUAAGGAAAUUGCUUGCUUUUUCGACAAAAAAAAUAUAUAAAGAAAAAAAGACAACAUGAUGGACUCUCCGCAUUAAAAUUUAAAGGGAAAGCAAUACAAUUUUGAGGAUUC